UACGUAGGUGGCAAGCGUUGUCCGGAUUUACUGGGCGUAAGGGCGUGCAGGCGGUCUGUUAAGUCUAGGGUGAAAGCUCCCGGCUCAACUGGGAGAGGUCCUUGGAUACUGGCGGACUUGAGGGAGGCAGAGGAAAGUGGAAUUCCCGGUGUAGUGGUGAUAUGCGUAGAUAUCGGGAGGAACACCAGUGGCGAAGGCGGCUUCCUGGACCGACACUGACGCUGAGGCGCGAAAGCUAGGGGAGCAAACGGG
rnacentral:rRNA from 1 species